UWGUGGGMKRAACGGUCAGACUCUACGGGAGGCAGCAGUAGGGAAUCUUCCGCAAUGGACGAAAGUCUGACSGAGCAACGCCGCGUGAGUGAUGAAGGUUUUCGGAUCGUAAAGCUCUGUUGUUAGGGAAGAACAAGUGCCGUUCAAAUAGGGCGGCACCUUGACGGUACCUAACCAGAAAGCCACGGCUAACUACGUGCCAGCAGCCGCGGUAAUACGUAGGUGGCAAGCGUUGUCCGGAAUUAUUGGGCGUAAAGGGCUCGCAGGCGGUUUCUUAAGUCUGAUGUGAAAGCCCCCGGCUCAACCGGGGAGGGUCAUUGGAAACUGGGGAACUUGAGUGCAGAAGAGGAGAGUGGAAUUCCACGUGUAGCGGUGAAAUGCGUAGAGAUGUGGAGGAACACCAGUGGCGAAGGCGACUCUCUGGUCUGUAACUGACGCUGAGGAGCGAAAGCGUGGGGAGCGAACAGGAUUAGAUACCCUGGUAGUCCACGCCGUAAACGAUGAGUGCUAAGUGUUAGGGGGUUUCCGCCCCUUAGUGCUGCAGCUAACGCAUUAAGCACUCCGCCUGGGGAGUACGGUCGCAAGACUGAAACUCAAAGGAAUUGACGGGGGCCCGCACAAGCGGUGGAGCAUGUGGUUUAAUUCGAAGCAACGCGAAGAACCUUACCAGGUCUUGACAUCCUCUGACAAAUCCUAGAGAUAGGACGUCCCCUUCGGGGGCARAGUGACAGGUGGUGCAUGGUUGUCGUCAGCUCGUGUCGWGAAAUGUUGGGGUUAAGUCCCGCAACRAGCGCAACCCCUUGAUCUUAGUUUGCCRRCAUUCRGUUUGGGCACUCUARAGGUGACUGCCSGGUGAAC
rnacentral:rRNA from 1 species